GCAUCACAUAUAUGGGCUGCUUAUACACCUGAGUUGAGCCCAUAUAUAAAUUAAUAUAUCCACGGGACCGGUAAUGAUACGCUGCGUUUUUAUUAGGGUUUGUUGUGUGUGCUUCUUCCUGUCUCAGAUCCCUUACCGCGCAGCUGAUCUUUCAUCUUCUUUCUUCCGGUGCGACAUGGAAACAGUAACCGACUUCCUCUCAUAAAGACCUCCUUUAAUCGACCAUCCACGAUCUAUAUUCAAUACGUCUCUUGAGACUGCGAGGCGAUUUGGGUUUCACUAUAUAAAAAGACUGGCCGCUCUUCCUCCACCGUCCACGUUCGCCUGCUCCGUUUCUGGGAGGCCAGGAAUGUACGCCCUGGUGGAGAUCUCAUGGGAGUCGACAUGCUCCUCCUUGAUUCUGAGGCUACCAUGAUGCCGGCUACGAUAAAUGUCAACCGGCUAGCGACGCACCAGACUUCUCUGAAAGCGGGUUCGGUUUAUUCACUAACCGGGUUUGAUGUUGCUCGGUGUAACCCAAAUUAUCGACUAUCGGAUUCUUCCUUGCUAAUCCGUUUUAGCGACACAACCUCUUUCGUUGAGGUUACCAAACCAGCUGUUCCGAUACCUCUUGAAUCAUUCCGCUUCCGUAACCACAGUGAGAUGCUUGGUCUCUCUAACACUAACAAUCAGCUCUCAGACCUCAUUGGUGAGAUUACUGCUGUGAAGAGCACUGUCACUGACCCUCUUCAGGACAAGAACCGUGUUAUGGCAACCAUUAAAAUGUACAAUGGCACGUUAGUGACUAUGAGCCUCUUCGACACUCACGCAGUUGCAAUUUAUAACCGGUUAGAAAAGAUGGGGAGUGAUCCAAGAGUUGUGGUUGCAACCAGCAUCAACCCAAAGAUGCUGGGAGGUCGCCUAUUUUUGAAUGCCACUUCCGGCACACAUAUUUACUUCGACAAAGAGACAGCAGCGGGGGAGAGUUUCUUCAAUAGGCUGUUUGGAGAAGCAACUGGAGUUACGCCAGCAGCUCCACUGCUAAGGGGCUAUGCAAAAGUGGAUGCCCUGACCAUAGCUGAGCUCAAUAAUUUUGUCAUAACAGCCCCCUCACAUGACAUUGAUUUUAUCUGUAACGGGAGAGGACUGAAAUCAAGAUGGAUAAGGGAUGGUGCUAUGUUUCGUGCUCAAACUGUGCCAAGAAACUUCAACGCACCGCCUCAUCGUUCACAUGUGUGCCUUUUAAUAACACUAACGCAGUUGGUGUCCUCCAAUACAUACCGUGUGGAGAUGUCCAUUGCAGACGAAACUGGUGAAGGAUUGUUUGUUUGCUUCGAUGGGGUUAUGACGAAACUCCAUAACAUGAGGGCAUCGGAAGGUGGUCAACUCUUGGUGUAACAUCCGCGAUCAUAGAUAAGGAUCGUCGGGACGGCCAUGGUUCGAGGAAACAAACCAGCCAGUCUUAAGACAUAAAGGCAAGCGUUCCAUGGCCAAGUUAGAAGGUUAAGGCAUAAGGAAACUUAGACUUAACCUUAUACAAGUCAAGAGUCAGCUAGGACGAGUAAGACGGUAGCUGAACGAAGCGAACGAGUAGCUCGACCAGCUCAACGAAGCUAUGUUAAGCUCACUCAAGCUCGACCACUAUUAAGUCAGCUCUACUAGCUGGACUACUAGCUCACUCAGCUGAAGCAGCUGGGAGUCAGCUCAUAUCAGCUCGACGGACUGUUCGGGUUUCGGGCUGAUGGUCCGGGUCCGGGUCAGUGGUGGGCAGUGUGGUCUGGUCAUGGGGCCAUGGGCUGUUGGGUCUUUGGACAAGGCCGUGGGUUAAGUCCAGAAGGCUUGGGGAAUGGUUUGGGCUUAUGACCGACCCCAAACCCAAUCAGAAUAGGCGAUGGGAUGCAAGUGGCCGAGAGGGCACAACACUUGGCCGAUGGUGCGCAUUCGCUAGUAAGGCGUGCCUGUUCGUGGGGCAAGACUUACCCCCUCGUUUUCUAUAAAUAUGGGGCCUCUCCUGUCGAUUUUAUUUCAUCCAAUCCAGAGUAAAAUACUCAAAGAAAUCGUAGAGAGAGAGAAAGAAAGAGAGUGAGAGUUUCCGGCCAAAGCAAGGCCGAUUGUGUGGUGGUUAGGUUUCCGGCGAUCUGAUCGUUUGUGAAGCAACCUCCGAUCAAGUAUGGGAGACCGAUACCAGGAGAAGAACAUGGAGAACCCAGACGUGGUUUAGAAAGUACGUGGUGGGCUAUGGCUCCAUCAGACCGAACAGAUGGUCCUUGUGAUCACACCGCGGCUCUGGUCGGUUCAUUAGUCCCAACCGCUUCUCCUUACUUGUUUCUAUCUGAUCCCUUUCUCUUCUUUCUGAUUAUACACGAAGGGCUGGGUUGGUUCAGUCCAAGGUACACGUCCCUAGGCUUGUCCGAACAUAACCAAACCGCUAGCCUAGACACGGGUCGGCUAUGCGGAUGGUUCGAAUCAAACCAUGGACUGGGCGGUUGGGCUAAACGGUUGGUCAUGUCCCAAAAGGCACGAGUUGCCAAAGGUCACGAGUUACCAAAGGUUGUGUGUUGCCAAAGGGUGUAAGUAACCAAAGGGUACGAGUUUCCAAAGGUUACGAACAUCAAGAGGUACGAGGACCAAGAGUUACCAAGGACCGAAGGGGUGCAUGUUCCAAACGGUGUCUGUUGAGACAGGUUGUGUCUGAUCCUUAUGGAUCAGUCUAUGAUUUGUUGAGUCAAGACAAGUUCACGGUUUGUCUAAGCCAAGGUAAGAGUCGCAAGGUCUGAUCUGCUGCUAAGCCUACCGGAUUGGGCUUGAGGCUUACUCGGCCAUUUGGAUCCAGGCCCAAGGCCGGAUCAGGUAAGGAAGUCCGUUGGGCCAUUGAGCCGGACUUCAUGGGCCGGUCGAACCUAGAUUCUAUCCGGUUAGACAGAUUGGUCUUCGGAGCGAUCCGAAUCUGUUCGUGUGUUCUGUUUAUCUAUUCUGGACUAUCUAUCUGAUUCUAAGUCAAGGGGUGGUUGGUUGAAUGACUUAGGAUAUGGUAGAUAGGUACAUAUCUUUUAUGAUUAUGGUUUAUCUAAGUUCUAGGAACCAAGCCAAGCAUUGUAGAAUCGAUCCGUUCUAUUCUCGGUUAUGAUUAAUGCUUAUCUGGUUGUGGUUUCAGGAACUAAGGAUGGUUCUGGUCAAGCCAAGGAGACGUGAAGGCUCGGUCAGUGAGAGGCUGUGUAACGUGUGGUUAGAUGAUGCUAGGGAUGAACUAGUGAUUGUCUAUGAAACUGUUAAGAAGUUGUGUAUCGGAUCUCAUGUUUCUAAGUAAUACAAUUUAAACACAAUUAUAUUCCGUUGUGCUAUCUGUUCAUUGUUUUAGAACCUCAGAUUCGAAUAUGACUUAGUAAAUAAAAGACUUAAAAUGAAUCAAUCAAGCAAAGAAAUUAAUAAAGUGGCAAACUAGCAAUCGGAUCCAGCUUGGUCGAGAGGCCGGAUUCGGGUGUUACACUUGGCUGGUGAAGGUGUCAACCCGGAGGAAACUGAGGCCCCUCAAUUUGUUAGAAACAUGGAGGGAAAGACCUACAAGUUCCAAGUGAGGGUGA